GAUGAACGCUGGCGGCGUGCCUAAUACAUGCAAGUCGAGCGAACGGACGAGAAGCUUGCUUCUCUGAUGUUAGCGGCGGACGGGUGAGUAACACGUGGAUAACCUACCUAUAAGACUGGGAUAACUUCGGGAAACCGGAGCUAAUACCGGAUAAUAUUUUGAACCGCAUGGUUCAAAAGUGAAAGACGGUCUUGCUGUCACUUAUAGAUGGAUCCGCGCUGCAUUAGCUAGUUGGUAAGGUAACGGCUUACCAAGGCAACGAUGCAUAGCCGACCUGAGAGGGUGAUCGGCCACACUGGAACUGAGACACGGUCCAGACUCCUACGGGAGGCAGCAGUAGGGAAUCUUCCGCAAUGGGCGAAAGCCUGACGGAGCAACGCCGCGUGAGUGAUGAAGGUCUUCGGAUCGUAAAACUCUGUUAUUAGGGAAGAACAUAUGUGUAAGUAACUGUGCACAUCUUGACGGUACCUAAUCAGAAAGCCACGGCUAACUACGUGCCAGCAGCCGCGGUAAUACGUAGGUGGCAAGCGUUAUCCGGAAUUAUUGGGCGUAAAGCGCGCGUAGGCGGUUUUUUAAGUCUGAUGUGAAAGCCCACGGCUCAACCGUGGAGGGUCAUUGGAAACUGGAAAACUUGAGUGCAGAAGAGGAAAGUGGAAUUCCAUGUGUAGCGGUGAAAUGCGCAGAGACAUGGAGGAACACCAGUGGCGAAGGCGACUUUCUGGUCUGUAACUGACGCUGAUGUGCGAAAGCGUGGGGAUCAAACAGGAUUAGAUACCCUGGUAGUCCACGCCGUAAACGAUGAGUGCUAAGUGUUAGGGGGUUUCCGCCCCUUAGUGCUGCAGCUAACGCAUUAAGCACUCCGCCUGGGGAGUACGACCGCAAGGUUGAAACUCAAAGGAAUUGACGGGGACCCGCACAAGCGGUGGAGCAUGUGGUUUAAUUCGGAGCAACGCGAAGAACCUUACCAAAUCUUGACAUCCUUUGACAACUCUAGAGAUAGAGCUUUCCCCUUCGGGGGACAAAGUGACAGGUGGUGCAUGGUUGUCGUCAGCUCGUGUCGUGAGAUGUUGGGUUAAGUCCCGCAACGAGCGCAACCCUUAAGCUUAGUUGCCAUCAUUAAGUUGGGCACUCUAAGUUGACUGCCGGUGACAAACCGGAGGAAGGUGGGGAUGACGUCAAAUCAUCAUGCCCCUUAUGAUUUGGGCUACACACGUGCUACAAUGGACAAUACAAAGGGCAGCGAAACCGCGAGGUCAAGCAAAUCCCAUAAAGUUGUUCUCAGUUCGGAUUGUAGUCUGCAACUCGACUACAUGAAGCUGGAAUCGCUAGUAAUCGUAGAUCAGCAUGCUACGGUGAAUACGUUCCCGCGGUCU
rnacentral:rRNA from 1 species